rnacentral:rRNA from 1 species
GAUGAACGCUGACAGAAUGCUUAACACAUCAGCAAUUGAUUGGUGGCGGACGGGUGAGUAACGCGUAAAGAACUUACCUCACAGUUAGGGACAACAUUUGGAAACGAAUGCUAAUACCUAAUACUGUGAGAGAGGUUUGCGUCCCAUUAGCUAGUUGGAGAGGUAACGGCUCACCAAGGCGAUGAUGGGUAGCCGGCCUGAGAGGGUGAUCGGCCACAAGGUAACUCAUGCACCACCCUUACUCCUACUUGAGCCAUCAGUGGGGAAUAUUGCACAAUGGACCAAAGUCUGAUCCAACAAUUCUGUGUUCACUAUGAAGUUUUCGGAAUGUAAAGUGCUUUCAGUUGGGAAGCGGUACCAACAGAAGAAGUGACGGCUAAAUACGUGCCAGCAGCCGCGGUAAUUC